rnacentral:snoRNA from 1 species
UGUAGAAGUGGAUGAUUCCUGUUACCGCCCCAGUCUGAUGUUAAGCUGACUGAUUGGUUACUGAACUGAU